GGAAAGUUUCAGGCAAGUGUCCGUUCAUUUGGUGUUUCUUUAUUUGAUUACGUGUUAUUGUUGGCUGUAGAAGUAUCUUAUUGUGAUCCCAUAGCAUAUUUCACUAAUGUAAGCGCAAAAGCAGUUGCACGCAAUACUACGGCAAGAUGGCUACCUCGAUUGCCCCCGUGUGUCUAACGUUUCUGUGGCCACGUCGGGCGUGGUGCGCCAGCAUAGUCCCGCUUUGUUUCUGAGCGCUUGAACUAUCGGAAAUGUGGUGUUCUUGCGAGUUCAGCGCGGCUUAUAACACGGUCGUUCGUUUUGUAUCGCGUAGAAAAAGAAGUGACGACUGGCUUCGCCUUUCGAAAGUACCGGCGCAAUAUUGGCUCUCCCUAGCGCGCUCGCGUACUGCUGCUGCUGCUUGCCGGACGCCUUCCUUCAGCGUGUUUUGGGCUCUCUUUCUGUUUGCGUGCGCGCGCGCGCGCGUAUGUGUUUUGUGAGCUUUUUGCGUGGGCGCGCGUGCUUGUGUGUGUGUGUAUGUGUGUGUGUGUGUAUUGUAUAACGUCGGUAGUUUUACACGCAAUAAACCUCUUCAAAAUUGGUGCAGUGGCUGUCCCCGCCCUGAAAACCGAGUUUGGUGUCGAGCCACCCUGGAAGCCACCCUGGGUUAUAUGGAGGCGCCGGAGGACCAGUGGAAGGUGUCAUCCAGAUGACAGCCUCACAAUUCGCAACCUUUGUGCUCUCCAUCAGAAACCCAUCAGGGGCAAGCCACUUAUGUUUGCCUUCAGACAAGACAACAUUGAAGUAGGAUUCCAGCACAGCCAUCCACUGCACUUAUGGUCCAGAUGCUCAGACAAUGGAGUCCCUGUUCCUUGUGGUUAACCGUGAACAGUAUUCUCGCUUUUAAGAAAGCUAAAGGUGAUUUCCUCCAUAAAUUACAAUUUUGCAGCUCAAAUGUAUACACUUUAUCUAAUUUGAAUCAACUAAUAUAUGCUGUUUAAUACUUUUAUACUGUUUGAUACAAUCAUUUCUUGUUUGAGAAUAUUAAGCGUGAUGUUUAACAUUUAUUUAUGCAUGACUGGCUGAUGCAUGAUGGCCGUGUUUAAAAAAUGUGAACUCACACACUUGAAGCUUUAUUCAGUAACCAGAGUAUGGCUGAUUUAAUAAACAUUAUUUCCUCAUUUAUGUACUCAUGUCCUGCAAGCCCUAAUCUUCCAUUUUCGCACCAAGUACAAAUAAUUUAGAAAUUGGCAAUGUAUAUUAACUUCAUCCGCAUGUGGCCAGUAGAGUACCUUAAUGAAGAGUGGUUUGUUUUUAUAAGGCCCCCAUUGAUACGUCACUUCGCACCUAAACAGUAAUAAAUGUGGCGUAUUUAGGCUUUUGUCUUGCAGUAGAAAAGAACCAUUUUCAAGCAACAUAUUUUAUAACAGACCAUGCAGUUCCUUCGCAUUAGAAAAAUUUAAAGAAACCAGAAUUGUAAUUGGAAAAUCUGCUACACAGCAUUUUUAGCUCAGAGAACUCUAUUUACAUUUGAAAAAAAAGUCAUUUAGGUGGGAAAAAAAUUUGCUUGCUCAAGGAACAUUGUUGAGGAGCGAAAAUUCAUCAUGAUGCUCCAGGAUCAAACCUUAUUUAAAGUAAGUUCAUGUGUGGAACAUACUUUGUUUCAGUAUAUCAAAAAUGUUGGCCAGUCAAGCUUUAUAUCCACUUUCCAAAUCAACUUUUCACAAUGACUUGCCAUGACAUUGGUGUACAAAAUAACAGGUGUGUUUCUUGUGUGCUUGCUCUGCAUUUCAUGUACUUCCCUAAUUCACCUUUGUAAUACAUAUAUUCUUUUCAAGGGCCACCAAAGCUAGAAUUUUUGUACUUGAAAUUUAAUAUUGAAAAUUUAUUCCUUUACGUGGCACCAAACUCGGGCUGUUUUAGUGUUACCAUAUAUACAGAUUGUUUCAGUCAACUUAAGCUAAACUUUAAAUAUAUGCAAAUGCUACGUAGCUGGGCAGAACCAAGGUAAUGUUGUUUGCCGUCGCUCGGAGAUACUUGGGCUAUUUUUUGUAUUCUGCCUAAUUAGAUAAUUAGACCUAAUUAUUUAUUCAACUUCUCAAUAAUUAUAAUUAGAUCAAAAGUUCCAAUGAGUAAAUUGUAGAGCAACAUGAGAAACUCCCAAUACAGCUUUCUGUUCAAUACGUGCAACAUAAAAUGUUUUUUCCGAGCGUGAAAGAAGCCCGCGAAUACACGCAAAAUUGUUGUGCGACUGGCCGCUCGAGGCAUUUUACGUGUAUUCGGGGGCAUCUUUCACGCUCGGAAAAACACUUUUGUGUUGCACAUAUUCAACAGAAAGCUGUAUCGGAAAUUUCUCAUGUUGCUCUAUACAAUUGUCUAAUUGACACUUGUCAUCUAAUUAUAAUAAUUGAGAAGUUGAAAAAAUAAUUAAGUCUAAUUAUCUAAUUAGGCGGAAUGCAAAAAAAUAGUCUGAGUAUCCCCAAGCGACGGCAAACAACAUUACCUUGGUUCUGUCUACCUAGGAGCAUUUGCAUAUAUUUAAAGUCUGUCCCAAGUUAACUGAAACACCCUGUAUAUAGGACAGAUUUGAUCAGUUAUAUGUAAAAAAACACACUUUUGCAGGAAAUGUAAGUUUUCGUGUACUUACAAAUGUAUUUGGUGAUUGCGCGUUUUAGGUUAUGUAUCAUGUAGUUAUGUAUUCUAGCAUGGAAUAAUUAUAUUUACUUUCCUUGAA